AGAGAGAGACAUGCGCGCAUAUCAAUAAGCGGAGGAAAAGAAACUAACUAGGAUUCCCUUAGUAACGGCGAGUGAAGCGGGAAGAGCUCAAAUUUGAAAUCUUCAAGGUUCUACCUUGACGAAUUGUAGUUUAAAGAAGUGUUUUCUGUUGGAGUUUUGGUAAAAGUUCUUUGGAAUAGGACAUCAUAGAGGGUGAGAAUCCCGUAUUUGACCAUUAUCUUCCAGCUGUGUGAUACACUUUCAAAGAGUCGGAUUGUUUGGGAAUGCAGUCCAAAAUGGGUGGUAAAUUUCAUCUAAAGCUAAAUAUUGGCGAGAGACCGAUAGCGAACAAGUACCGUGAGGGAAAGAUGAAAAGAACUUUGAAAAGAGAGUUAAACAGUACGUGAAAUUGUCAAAAGGGAAGCGUUUGACACCAGUGUUGUUUUCUCGAAAAUCAAUUAAUGAUGGCUGAUGUUAGUGUUGUAUUGACUUUAUCAGCAUUACUGUCUACGUUUUUCUUGUCUUUGUGAAUGCACUUUUCGUUUAACAAGUCAACAUCAAUUUCUUUUGUUGUAAAAGGGUCAUUGGAAGGUGGCUUUCUUUUCGGAGAAAGUGUUUAUAGCCUUUGGCUUCUGCAAUCGGAGAGAUUGAGGUCUGCAGCGUAGAUCCUUCGGGGUUAGAUACAUUUGUGCUAAGCUAUAGCCUUUUAUAGACAACUUGUUGACUAUGAUUAGUCAUUGUAGCUUACUCGCUUAUGCUAUUUUACCUACGCUUAGGAUGUUGACAGCAGUAUAGACUGU
rnacentral:rRNA from 1 species